GCGAACGCUAGCGGCAGGCCUAACACAUGCAAGUCGAACGGCUCUUCGGAGCAGUGGCGGACGGGUGAGUAACACGUGGGAACGUGCCCUUUGGUACGGAACAACUGAGGGAAACUUCAGCUAAUACCGUAUGUGCCCUUCGGGGGAAAGAUUUAUCGCCAUUGGAGCGGCCCGCGUUGGAUUAGGUAGUUGGUGGGGUAAUGGCCCACCAAGCCUACGAUCCAUAGCUGGUCUGAGAGGAUGAUCAGCCACACUGGGACUGAGACACGGCCCAGACUCCUACGGGAGGCAGCAGUGGGGAAUCUUGCGCAAUGGGCGAAAGCCUGACGCAGCCAUGCCGCGUGUAUGAUGAAGGUCUUAGGAUUGUAAAAUACUUUCACCGGGGAAGAUAAUGACGGUACCCGGAGAAGAAGCCCCGGCUAACUUCGU
rnacentral:rRNA from 1 species